GAGGGGUAUAGGUUUUCGGACCUAGAGACCGGCGCACGGGUGCGUAACGCGUAUGUAAUCUACCUUUUACAGAGGGAUAGCCCAGAGAAAUUUGGAUUAAUACCUCAUAGUAUAAUGACUCGGCAUCGAGAUAUUAUUAAAGUUCCAACGGUAAAAGAUGAGCAUGCGUCCCAUUAGCUAGAUGGUAAGGUAACGGCUUACCAUGGCGACGAUGGGUAGGGGUCCUGAGAGGGAGAUCCCCCACACUGGUACUGAGACACGGACCAGACUCCUACGGGAGGCAGCAGUGAGGAAUAUUGGUCAAUGGGCGCAAGCCUGAACCAGCCAUGCCGCGUGCAGGAUGACGGUCCUAUGGAUUGUAAACUGCUUUUGUACAGGAAGAAACACUGGUUCGUGAACCAGCUUGACGGUACUGUAAGAAUAAGGAUCGGCUAACUCCGUG
rnacentral:rRNA from 1 species